rnacentral:rRNA from 1 species
CGAACGUAGGGCGCAAGGCGUUGUCCGGAAUUAUUGGCGUAAAGAGCUCGUAGGCGGUCUGUUACGUCCGCUGUGAAAACCCGGGGCUUAACCCCUGGCUUGCAGUGGAUACGGACAGACUAGAGGUAGGUAGGGAGAAUGGAAUUCCCGGUGUAGCGGUGAAAUGCGCAGAUAUCAGGAGGAACACCGGUGGCGAAGGCGGAUCUCUGGGCCUUACCUGACGCUCAGGCGCGAAAGCUAGGGAGCAAACAGG